UUGCUUCAGUAGCACAUACACUAAAGUUGGAAUGAUACAGAGAAGAUUAGUAUGGCCCCUGCACAAGGAUGACAUGCAAAUUCAUGAAGCAUUCCAUAUUUUC
rnacentral:snRNA from 1 species